rnacentral:lncRNA from 1 species
UGAAUUCAUGGUUUUAUGGCCUUAAUCAUCUAGCAGAUACAAUACAAACCUAUUUGACCAACAAACCCAGAAGUAACCUGGCCAGGCGCAGUGGCAUACACCUGUAAUUCCAACACAGUGGGAGGAUCUCUUGAUGCCAAGAGUGCAAGACCAGCCUGGGCAACAUAGUCAGUGGCCCGGACAAUGCUUUUGAUGAACAGAUGAUGAGUGACAAUGCAAGAUGAACUGUGACAAGGAUCCCGUGGGUUGUCAAAUGAGUUAAGAGGAAGGAAAAAUUCCUUUGGGUUGCCGAGGCCAAGACAAGCUUCAUUUCAAGCUUAGUCUUGAAGAUGAGUGGGAUUAAGAUAAAAAAUAAAGAAUGGAAAUGAGCAUGAACAAAAACGUGAUGGUGAAAGCAUAUUUGCUAUUUUCAAAAGCCAGGAGCAGUGCUAUCAGUGACAGGCAAACAGGCCUGGAAAAGAAGGUACCAAGACAAGGAUAUCUUCAAAAUACAGGCUUGAGCACUUAAUCUAAAGCCAGAAAAAAACAUUGGCUUCAACUGUCCAUCAAACUCUAUUAAAUAUAAGAAAGUUUCCUAAAUAUAUCAUUUUUCCCUGUUAGAAUUCAUUGUCUCUACUGAUUUCAAAAUCAGCAAAUAUUUAUUGUAAAAAAGAAAGAAAAAAUACUUGUUAAAAUCUAUUUCUAUAAAAACUACUGCUACUGGUUUCUCCCUAAAUGCUCGGCAGUGAGCAAAGAAAGAUACUGUUAACAUUUAGUAGCUGCUGCGGUCACCUUGGCAUAAUCGAGUGAACACAGACUUUAAUGGCAGUUUAAUUAGAUUUACCACGGGGAAGAUGUCACACAGGAGAUGCGAUGCUUCUGUAUUUAGAAACCUAUAUGAU